UCCUAUCUCUCGUCGCGGAUGAACCCUGGUUUUUCCGGACAAAAAUGAUGGUUUGCUAUCGUCAAUAAUUCGUUAUCUGUUUAGGUCGAGAUUUAAAGUCAGGUCUAUCUGUUUCAUUUUUCAUUUCAUCCCGCUGGAAUUUCAAACCAUUUAAAUCCCAAAAUCAAAACCCUAGAUAACAGUUCUAAAACCACGUCACCAUGGAGAAAACUAGACAAAUUUCUCCUUCCUAGAUUAUCUAUACAGUCACGGCGGUCUUUUGCUUGAAGAGAUUGAAUCGAUGUCACCGGUUUGAUAGGUUCAUACUAACGGGUUCAGAGGAUGGGAGCAUGCGAAUCUAGGAAACGGAAAAUGUAUUAACGUCAUAGAUCCAGAGGAACAAAUGAAGUCAAAGGAAGCCUUCCCAUGGGUUAGUUGAAGUGAAAGCUGGCUGGUGCGUUUGUAUCACAGUUCCGUCGUUGGAUACCCAUAUGGAAGUGGAUUGCAGAGGUCGAUGUGACUAGAGCAGAAAAUGUGUUGGAGGAUAACAUGAAGAUUGUAUUUGAGAAAAACAAGGAGAGACUUGCUUUUCUGAAAUGGGGAUCCACUGCUUUCUGUAAUAUGCUAGUUAUUCCUCCAGGUUAUGUCAUUGUGCACCAGGUUAGCUUUAACAAUUGAUAGUAUGUACAACAGAUUGCUAAAGAUUACAGUUAAUCCAGGUUCCAGACUCCGAUAUUGGAUCCCACUUUGGUAUGCUACUUGAGAAUCAGGAAGGUUCUUUGAGACAUAUUUUUAAGCUAGCGAAAAGUUUCAUGCUCAUAAGUUGGUAUUGGCUGCUUGAUCCCCUGUAUAUGGAGAUGAAUUGAUGGAUGGUAUGGAAAAGACAAAUGUGAGGUAGUUGAAGAUCUUUGAGACAGAUUUUUAAGCUAAGCAUCAUUUUAGUUUUUAUGCUUUUAGAUUUAAGUUAUCUUCAGUUUGCUUAUAAGUUGUCUUGUACAGAAACUAUAAGGUUAUUUAUAUCCAUUUUGUGUAGCAUCCCUUGCUUCAUGUGUCUUAUCUUUCUCUUUUAAUCAAAUGGGCGAUUCAGACGAGGCUGCACCUGAUCAUUUAUCCCUUGUCACUGAAAUUACUAAGUGUAUCUCCUUAGAGCCUCUGGUGGAAUGUUCAUCCAUUACUUGGCGAAAACAGCUACUAUCAAGAACAUCAAGUAUUAGAACAGAUGCCUCGAGUCAGUUUCAUUGUUGGAUGCUCAUAUGGAAGUGGAUUGCAGAGGUCAGUGUUUAUCUUCUGUGUAAUUCCCUGUACUGAAAUAUCUAUGUGCAUUAAUCUGAGGAAAGAAGCAUCUUGGCAGUGUAGUUACCAAGACUAGUCAUUGCAUGUAUUCCAGUGUUAUAUCUUAUCCCUUCUCAGUUGUUAGUGACCCAAGUUAAGUAAUGAAAUUGUGAAUGUGCCUUAAAUUUUGAUUCUUGUGUUGGACUUUAAAGAGGUUUUUGAGUAAUGGGUCUUCAUGUUGAUAGUCCCUGUCUGCCACUUUUAAUGCAUUUUGUUUUGUUAACGCAUAGUUCAAUGGUGUUAUCCCUCAUCUUACAGUUGUGAUUCCUUCUGCCCUAUGCUCAAUUGAUAGCUUGAGGUGAAUGAUUCUGUUACUCUAACAAGUUAUACUACCACUUCAUAGUAGUACGAGGCUACUGUCCAAGCAACGCGUGUUCACAUAACAUUCGAAAGUCAGCCCUCACAGCAAAUCAUUAACAUCUGUAUGAAGCUCAGAACAGCAAACAUAAGCAAAUCAUUAACUUAUGGACAUGCACAGGUGGUGGCUGAGCAUUUUUUGAUGGAGGAAGUAGUUGGACAAUAGCAAAUAGAAAGCUAACCUCUGAGAGGAGCUGAAAGAAAGUUUUGAUAAGAUUGGGCAUCAGAUUGUGGAUCCAGUUACUCAGUUAAUAAUGCAAGCUAACUCAGCAUACAGUAACCUACAGUAAGCAUGAAUUUGGAAAUAAAAGUUUAAGGUAUGUACACGUUCAACUUAGAAGGCUUGGUUCUGAAAGUCUUGCCACCUUGCUCAAGAAGAGGGGGAGGAUGAAAAAGAUCUACAUCUAUGUGCAGUGUACUCCAAUCCCUUUCUUCUUUUUUAGUACACGAUAGAGAGAGUCUCGGUCUUUGUCUUUCUGAUGUAUCUGGGAACCGAAAAUAUCUUGUAUUCGAGUAUGCACUUGGAAGACAAUGGAAUGAAAAGGAUUUGGUGUUAUUCUUGCCAGUCUGAUUUUGCACCCUUGGUGCCACCCUGUGCGACUCAAUUUAAAAUUGGUAUUGUGAAACCUUGAUUCGUAUAA